AUUGAACGCUGGCGGCAGGCCUAACACAUGCAAUUCGAGCGAGCGGCGGACGGGUGAGUAAUGUAUGGCGACUGCCCGAUAGAGAGGGAUAACUACUGGAAACGGUAGCUAAUCCCCCAUCCUAUCGGAUACACCCUAUGGGAUUAGCUAGUAGUUGAGGUAAUGGCUCAACUAGGCGACGAUCCCUCGCUGGUCUGAGAGGAUGAUCAGCCACACUGGGACUGGGAAACGGCCAAGACUCCUAAGGAGGCAGCAGGGGGGAAUAUGGCACAAUGGGCGCAAGGCAGAUUGAGCCAAUGCGCGUGGAUGAAGGAGGCCCUAGGGUUGGAAAGGAAUUUCAGUCGGGAGGCGUUACCGACAGAAGAAGCACCGGCUAACUCCGUGCCAGCAGCCGCGGUAAUUC
rnacentral:rRNA from 1 species